GUACUGCUGAGGAGUCCCACAAUAGGACGAAACGGCCGUCCAGUGU
rnacentral:hammerhead_ribozyme from 1 species